rnacentral:rRNA from 1 species
GAUGAACGCUGGCGGCGUGCCUAAUACAUGCAAGUCGAGCGAACAGAUAAUGAGCUUGCUCCGUGGACGUUAGCGGCGGACGGGUGAGUAACACGUGUAUAACCUACCUAUAAGACUGGGAUAACCUCGGGAAACCGGAGCUAAUACCGUAUAAGAUUUCGAACCGCGUGGUUCGAUAGUGAAAUAUGGUGGUGCUGUCACUUAUAGAUGGACCCGCGCCGGAUUAGCUAGUUGUUAAGGUAACGGCUUACCAAGGCGACGAGACGUAGCCGACCGGAGAGGGUGGGUAGCCACACUGGGACUGUGACACGGUCCAGACUGACAGGGGAGGCAGCAGUAGGGCAACGGGCGCCAUGGGUGAGAGAUUGACGGAGAUAGGCGGCGUGAGGGAUGAAGGUCUUCGGAUCGUAAAUCUCGGUUUUUAGGGUAGAAAAUACGUGUACGUAAGUGGGAACGUCUGGACGGUAACUAAUUAGAAAGCCACCGCUAACUAAGUGC